GAUGAACGCUAGCGGCAGGCUUAACACAUGCAAGUCGAGGGGUAUAGUUCUUCGGAGCUAGAGACCGGCGCACGGGUGCGUAACGCGUAUGCAAUCUACCUUUUACAGAGGGAUAGCCCAGAGAAAUUUGGAUUAAUACCUCAUAGUAUAGCUGUACCGCAUGGUACUACUAUUAAAGUCACAACGGUAAAGAUGAGCAUGCGUCCCAUUAGCUAGUUGGUAAGGUAACGGCUUACCAAGGCUACGAUGGGUAGGGGUCCUGAGAGGGAGAUCCCCCACACUGGUACUGAGACACGGACCAGACUCCUACGGGAGGCAGCAGUGAGGAAUAUUGGACAAUGGGCGCAAGCCUGAUCCAGCCAUGCCGCGUGCAGGAUGACGGUCC
rnacentral:rRNA from 1 species